GGUCGCGUAUUUCAGUUGGUUUAGAAUCUUGUACUAAUAGUUUUCCGCAUGGAAUAUUAGUUAUGCAAUUGUCGGCGGUUCGAGCCCGUCCGUGAUCA